rnacentral:rRNA from 1 species
GACGAACGCUGGCGGCGUGCUUAACACAUGCAAGUCGAACGGAAAGGCCCUGCUUUUGUGGGGUGCUCGAGUGGCGAACGGGUGAGUAACCCGUGAGUAACCUGCCCUUGACUUUGGGAUAACUUCAGGAAACUGGGGCUAAUACCGGAUAGGAGCUCCUGCUGCAUGGUGGGGGUUGGAAAGUUUCGGCGGUUGGGGAUGGACUCGCGGCUUAUCAGCUUGUUGGUGGGGUAGUGGCUUACCAAGGCUUUGACGGGUAGCCGGCCUGAGAGGGUGACCGGCCACAUUGGGACUGGGGUACGGCCCAGACUCCUACGGGAGGCAGCAGUGGGGAAUAAUGCAAAAUGGGCGGAAGCCUGAUGCAGCAACGCCGCGUGCGGGAUGACGGCCUUCGGGUUGUAAACCGCUUUCGCCUGUGACGAAGCGUGAGUGACGGUAAUGGGUAAAGAAGCACCGGCUAACUACGUG